CCUACCCCUAGAAGCCUUGCAAGUGUGGCUUAUGUGCAGUAAGUGCCACAUGUGCAGUAAGUGGCAUAGAGGAGAGGGUUAUGUCUGUGCUCAGUGUGCUGACCUAUGAACAUCUGAAUGAUUAGUAGUCUAACUUU
ensembl:snoRNA Gm25826 predicted gene, 25826